ACCCUGGUGGUCCAGUGUUUAAGCCUCUGCACUUCCAGUGCAGGGGGUGUGGGUUCAAUUCCUAGUCAGGGAA
rnacentral:tRNA from 1 species